AUGCACGCACGAGUUGACCUGGACAAGCCGCCGGUGCUGCAGGAUGUGGCGGAUUUCUUCAGUGGCCACGGAAUCGAGGACUUCACCUUCAGUAGGGGCAGGCUGUCAGAAUGGUGUUGCCGGGCAAAGCUAGCGGUACGCGGAACACCAGAGAAACCACUGGUUGGCCUGUAUCAGGAAGGGACACAUACUGUUCAAGAUAUUCCCGAUUGCAGAGGUAGGACAGGAGGAACAGCGACAAGCGACGGGAUGAAGCCCGGCCAUGGAAACCCACCGCAGCCUUCAAGACCUCGACGGCGGUCGGUGCCAUGGUAUGAAUCCUUCCUCCACUUCAAGACCUCUACGUACGGCGGUCGGCAGCACGCGCGCGCAUUGCACUCUUCCUCUUGCUCUGUUCUUGGGCUGAUGCUGGCGGCGGUGCAGGGGAUCCUAAUCAACAUGCAGUUCCUGGGGCCGGAGAUCGACGCCGUCACCAACGACAACAUCGUCAUCAACGUCUUCAACAACCUGAUCUGA
rnacentral:rRNA from 1 species